AGCCUCGUUUUCGGUCACAACACGAUCCCCCUGCAGUUCUAUUUUUAUGGCACUGCUCCUGGGUUUGGCGCUCCACUCAUAUUUACUUACAUCAUUUUGGCAAUUCCAAGUAUAUAUUUAAAGAGAAAUGAAAAUGAAUUCAAUGAAUCCAGCACCAAUUGUUAAGUGUUAAUUUUUUGGAAGUAUUCAAGAAUUUUGAUGAAAUAUGGAUCAUGAUACACAAAGAGACAUAAAAAAAAUGCUUUUAUAUAAACCUGGUAGAAACGAAAAAAAAAUGUCCGAUUUAUUAUAUGGAUGAUAUUUAAAAUGUGUUUUUGACAUGAUUCCCUUUUAAAAAAUGAAAAUACCAUUUUGUAUUUCAAUCCGCUAAUUUGUUCACACAAGUUCUGCUUUAAGGGCAGAAGAGAGGGAAAACUGACAAUACAUCGUAAUAAAUGAGAAUUGAAUUGAGAUUAGCUGAUUUCAGAGAGAUUUCAGUGACAAUGACGUAAUCACCCUUUUCUGGUUUUUAGUUUCCAGGGUUUCAGCCGGCUAAGAAUGCAUAACAAAGGCGGAUCUCCCGUAGCGUUUGUAGAAUUUCAGGAUGUGAGACAAGCUGCCGAGGCUAUGGGGCGGCUACAGGGCUUCGUCCUUCUUUCUUCAGAUCGAGGCGGAAUCCGCAUCGAGUAUGCUAAAAAUAAAAUGGGGGAGGUGGUGAGUGGACUUUAAUGUUUCCCCACCCACCUACCGAUAAUAUGCAAGGAAAGAAGGACGAAGCACUCGGUCAAUCCCCAGUGGGCGUGACAACGAUUUUCUCAUGAAUAUUCAUAUGGUUGUGUUUUCAUAGGAACACCUUUUUUUCUCUCUUGUCUACUUGAGGACCCUCGUCUGUGAUGAUGGAGAUGUAACAUUUUAUUUGGAGUAAAUUUUUUUUCAUUCUUUGAUAAAAAUCAACGUCUCAUAAUGUUUGAUUGAUUGUUUUUUUGUCAUUUUAUUUAUACUAUAUAUAGUAACGGAGGUUUUUUUUCGGUAUAUCUGUUUAUCAAUGAGAUAUUAUACAUAUAAUUAUAUGCGUAUACAAUAUGUUUCUUGACAUUGUAGAUAAUUCAUGUUACUUAAUGUUUAUUGUAUAUUUGAUAUUAUCUAUGUAAUGAAAUUGAACGCAUAUUUAUAUAUAUGCAUAAAUUAAUAGAUUGAUGGUGAUUGGAGAGUCAAGGUCAGCUGAUGUCAACGUCACAAGAUAUGUGAUCCAACAAAACAUCACAAAAUCUGAGUCUUGAAUACAUUAAGAAUGCUCAUUAUAUACUGAUUGAAGCUAAUCUAAAAAGACACUAUUUUGAAUUCAAAAGAGAAUUGAUUUGUUAAUUUCCAGUCUCUACCAUGUCUCACAUAGAUGAAGAAUGUUGAGGAAUCGUUGUUGAACACGUGACAUGACGUCAGCUGAUCUACUUUUGUUGGCAUUUUGACCCUCUGGGUGUGUGUGUCAGGUUUAUUAUAACGUAUUCAUUAUUUUGCUGUGAUGUAAGGUUAUUUAUUAUUGAUGUUUACAUUUUUGUCAAUUUCCCAGGGAGUUUUUAAAUCAUGUUUCCCCCUGUUCUUUCUUCGUCAGAAUUGUCAAUUUUAUUGACCUUAUGGAUUUCCUGUGAACAAAUCAUUUUUAAAAUCUGGGAACCCCAAACUGAUUUUUUUUCAUCAUUGAGCUGCUAAAAGUUAAGAUAUAAAUAAAACAUAACGUGCAUCACAAGAGCUUAAUUUAAAAAAUGCAUGUUAUAUUCAUACAAAUCCAUUUUUUUCACUGAAAAUUUGUAAAUUCAUAACAUUAACAAAGUUUCAGGUCAUAAAAAGUUCAAUUGGACAUGUUUAAAAACCAUCUGAAGUAGAAUAUCAGAUUUUUUAAAAAUAAAUUACCAUCAAGCAAGAAACUCGACUAAUUAGAGUAAUAGUAAGUACAGUAAAACUUUGUCAUAAGGGAAUAACUGGAACUUCUCGAAGUUUGCUUCCUUAAUUCCUGGUAAGGAUUAAAAUAAAUAUCAUUAAAGUAUCUUAUCAAACGAGCUAUCGUAAUAAGAGGUUUCCUUUUAAGCAGAUUAGCUAUAUUAUAACAGACUUCAGAUGAACAAAGUAAUAAAAACGCGUCCGUCCAUGCAUCUCAGACAUAUCUUACAAUAGAGUUGUCUUUUUAUCAGCACAAAACACGGUCAUUUAAGCUGUAGAGUAUAUGAUGUAUCUUUUUUUUUUAUAUUCCACUUUUGUUCCCUCAUUUUAUUUUUCGUUUUUUUUUUUAGCUUUGGACUGUCAAAUAAAAAAAAAAUAAAUGAAAUUUUAAUCACAUUCGUUAAGGUAUUCUGCACCUGUGUUUUAAACGCAUAACUGUGUUCGAGUCAUUUGAUCUCAAAAUUGCUACUUGUAAUGUUCUCAGAGAAGUAAAAUACGACAGAUUUUUGGGUCAUUAACCCCCUGUGAAUUGUUCUUCAACAGCAAUAUUGUGUAGACUGCUAAACUGCACCGAUGCACUUGUUAAAGAAAUCAAACAAGAUCACGUGAUUGUAACCCCAACCCGUGUUUUAAAUAUAAAUCGGCACAUCCCUUAGAAUUUUUUAAAUAACAAAAUGACACAGUCCAGCAAAAACACAUAUUUUCUUUUCUUUUUUCUGAGUUCAUCAUUCAAGGUUUCACUUACCAACGAGGAUUGUACAGAAAGUUAACAUUCCAUUUUAAGCCAAUUUCCCCCUUUUACACCAUGACAUUGGAUGAACACUUCCUAAAGGUAUCUAGAUAUAUUUCCCAGACUUUGUUCUUACGUCACAACACUGUUGCGUCAUACUACUUUUAUAACGUCACAGUUCACUGUAAGAUUUGUUCCGUUGUUUUGUUUUUUUUUUCUAAAUCGCACCUUCAGUAAAAAUACACCCUUUUUAGUUGAGCUUGUCUACUGAAAUUAAUAAUCUGUGUAUUAUUUUAUUUAUGAUAAAUAAUAGUAAUUUAUUGUGUGUUUUAAAAUUACAUGUCGGUAGGCUAGAGUUAUGGAAUUAAUAUGGAGUUUUCGCAAAAAGUCGACAAAUAUGCAAAUGUUUCUAAAUUUAUGUUGUUGAUUCGUAAUAGUGCUGUAGAAUUGAUGAAUGGAAUGUGUGAUUGUUAUUAUUAUAAUGUUGUAUGUAUCUAUUUGCGUGUUGACCAAUAGGAUCACUUGUUACGAAAUAAUGCUUAUUAUCAAUUUUAUAUAUAUUGCUUAUAUGAAUUUUGAUUGUCUGUCUCAUAUUAAUGUGUUACUACGAAAUCCAGUGAUUAAUCAUUGAGGAUUGACCAAUCAAAUAUAACACCUAAAUUGAUUGACCAAUCAAAUAACUUGUUUUAGAUGUGGUUGAUUUGAUUGACCAAUCAAGGAAAGAUUAUAGACAAGGCUAAAUCUACUUUGAGCAUAAUCAUACCUUAGUUUAUAGAGGGCUAUAGUCUUGUUACACAGGGUAUAAAAAUCUAGGUAUUGCUCCAUGGACAUUUCACAAUCAACUUCAACUUGCGAUCAAAUUUUCUGCUCUUUAUAAGUGUUAAAUACUCAUUACUUUUUGCAAUAUCUGUAUGAUCAGGCCACACAAUUUUUUUUUUAUUGAAAGAUAGAACAAAGGGAGGUAAUAAUCGAAAUAUCAAAAAACAAGGGUUGUACCAGGGAAUUUAUUAUAUGCAGAGCCCCUUAAAAUGCAAAUUAUUCUAUGCAGUAGUUGAUUCAAAGUUUUGUAUAGUAUCGGUAAAAAUAUGUCUUGAAAUUCGAAAAUUCACCGACUCUGUAGUUUAAAUUGCAAACAAUAGAAUGUGAAGGAUUUGUGAAUUUACAGGGUAUCUGUUUUUAUUUCACCUUUUUGCGAGAAUUGCAAUCCAGGAAUAAGAUUUCUGAACUGUUAGGUAAAAUUUUAGUUAAAAACUAUAAUCUUUUGAAUUCGGAUAAAUUCUUUUUUAUUUCACUACAAUGAAUUUUUUUAUAUUUUGGAAAAAUGAAUUUUAUGUAAAUGGAAGUAUGAAAUACUUUGCUUCCUCCUCAAACAUUUUAACUUUAAACUGAUAAUUAUAACAUACAAGAAACACUGUUCGUAUGCAAUAUUCGUUUUUACAGAAAUAUGUAGUGACAUUAGCUAUAGUCAAUUUCAUUCUAUUUGUGUAUGACGUCAUUGGUAGUGGGUUUUAUGUAGACUUUUUGUGUCUGAAGGACGUUAAAACUUUCAAGGUCACGCCAGGGUAGUCCUGAUGCUUUAGUCUAUUUUUAGAUAAUGAACAAAAUACAAAAUGUAGCAUUUGGUCAGUUAUGUCACAACACAGUUCUGUUUCCAUCGUAACUCUUUUUUCUUUAUAGCCACAUGCAGUGCAAUGACUGUUGUUUUGCUCAAGAACUUUAUUUAAUAGAAAUGUGUUAUAACUUUAGAAAAUAUUGUAAGUGGGACAUUUUACUAAUACUUUACUUGUGGAAUCUUCUAUAGAUUAGACGAAAGGGCAUUAUAAUGCUAUCUUAACAUCGAAAUAGUCAUGUUCUAUUUUCCCAUGAUGCUUUGAUUUCCCACAUUGCAAUAGACAGGAAGUUUUCUAAAGUAUUAGUGUUACGCCAUUGAUGUACAUCGUAGUUUUUGGGUCACGUGACUCUAUUUAUGUAAAUUAUAUCAUACAUGUCUUUACAUGGAAUAAACGACCAACGUCA